ACUACAGAGUAAACAAAGAGAGUAGAGAAAUAUUAGGAAAACAACAACAAAAUUAUCAUGUUUGUUCCUGCAAGUACCAGUAUUUUCCUCAUUUCCGUUUUCUUGGUACUGUUGACAAUGGCUUCUUCAGAACAAACGGAUGAUUUUCCACCCGCACCAGUUGAAAGCUGGUUGAAUUGUGCUGCUGGUGACUUUGAUUCCAAAAAGUCGUCUCAAACAGGUUACGUGCAUGGGUAUAAUCGUUGGAGUAUUUGUAUUAGCCACAUUUUUGGGAAUUGUCGUCUUGUUCAUCACCAUUCGAAGACGUCCAACUACUCUAUCUGGUAGCAGCACUCCAAACACUUCUCCACCGUUUCGUCGUCAUCCACUUUCGUCCUCAUCCUCCAGAGAUAUAGAAAGAUAAAACUGUUGCUUUGCCUUUAGAAAACUAGUGAUCUCUGUUGUUGGUAUUGACUUGGGAAUCUUGUUUGUCUAUCUUCCAGAGUUUAGGGCUUCUUUGAACAAAAUUUUAAGGUAAGAUCAGACAGUUAGCUACCAAAUAUGGAGACAUGUAAUCUUAAUUGUAUUUAACAUUAACUAAAGUAAAAUAUCGGUUUUUGGUGUCA